rnacentral:piRNA from 1 species
UCUCGUAGCUUCUGCAGAGUUUUCUCCC